rnacentral:rRNA from 1 species
AAUCGAACCCGGAGAUAGCUGGUUCUCCUCGAAAUAGCUUUAGGGCUAGCCUCGUAUUAGUUUAGCGGAGGUAGAGCACUGAAUUCCUAAGGGGGCGUCAAAGCUUACCAAGGGAUAUCAAACUCCGAAUGCCGCAUAAAUGAUGUACGGGAGUCAGACUGCACGAGAUAAGUUGGGCAGUCGAAAGGGAAAGAGCCCAGACCUACAGCUAAGGUCCCAAAGUGUGUGUUAAGUGGAAAAGGAUGUGGGAUUUCAGAGACAACCAGGAUGUUGGCUUAGAAGCAGCCACACAUUCAAAGAGUGCGUAAUAGCUCACUGGUCGAGAGGUCCUGCGCCGAAAAUGUCCGGGGCUGAAACACAACACCGAAGCUUAGGAACGAGAGAUCGUUGGUAGAGGAGCAUUCUUAAAGGGGCGAAGCAGUACCGGCAAGGAGCUGUGGACUUUUAAGAAGAGAGAAUGCCGGAAUGAGUAGCGAGAUGGAGGUGGGAAUCCUCCAGGCCGAAUAUCCAAGGUUUCCAGAGUAAAGCUGAUCUGCUCUGGGUAAGUCGGGGCCUAAGGCGAGGCUGAAAAGCGUAGCCGAUGGACAACAGGUUGAGAUUCCUGUACCGCGUAUCAUCAGAACUGUGGGGACACAGAAGGACAGCACAUCCCGGGAAUGGGAAGACCGGGGCAAGCAGGGUAGGAGUCAGACAGGCAAAUCCGUCUGGCAAUCCGAAGCUGUGAUGCGGAGCGAACAGAAGUAGCGAAGUGUGCGAUUCCAGCUGUCAAGAAAAGCCGCUAUUGUGUGAUACGUGCCCGUACCGUAAACCGACACAGGUAGAUGAGGAGAGAAUCCUAAGGCCGGCGGGAGAAGCAUUGUUAAGGAACUCGGCAAAAUGACCCUGUAACUUCGGGAGAAAGGGUGCCUGGGAAACCAGGCCGCAGAGAAUAGGCUCAAGCAACUGUUUAGCAAAAACACAGGUCUAUGCAAAACCGUAAGGUGAGGUAUAUGGGCUGACGCCUGCCCGGUGCUGGAAGGUUAAGAGGAGAGGUUAGAGCAAUCGAAGCUUUGAAUUGAAGCCCCAGUAAACGGCGGCCGUAACUAUAACGGUCCUAAGGUAGCGAAAUUCCUUGUCGGGUAAGUUCCGACCCGCACGAAAGGCGUAAUGAUUUGAGCGCUGUCUCAACAAUGCACCCGGUGAAAUUGAAAUACCAGUGAAGAUGCUGGUUACCCGCGCCAGGACGGAAAGACCCCAUGGAGCUUUACUCCAGCUUGAUACUGGGAUUCGGUACUGCAUGUACAGGAUAGGUGGGAGGCUUUGAAUCAUGGACGCCAGUCUGUGAGGAGCCGCUGUUGGGAUACCACCCUUGCGGUAUUGGAUUUCUAACCUGCAGCCAUGACCUGGCUGGGGGACAAUGUCAGGCGGGGAGUUUGACUGGGGCGGUCGCCUCCGAAAGGGUAUCGGAGGCGCUCAAAGGUUCCCUCAUAAUGGUUGGAAACCAUUAGAAGAGUGCAAAGGCAUAAGGGAGCUUGACUGCGACACCGACGGGUGGAGCAGGUACGAAAGUAGGACUUAGUGAUCCGGUGGUAUGAAAGUGGGAUUGCCAUCGCUCAACGGAUAAAAGCUACCCUGGGGAUAACAGGCUUAUCACUCCCAAGAGUUCACAUCGACGGAGUGGUUUGGCACCUCGAUGUCGGCUCAUCGCAUCCUGGGGCUGUAGCAGGUCCCAAGGGUUGGGCUGUUCGCCCAUUAAAGCGGUACGCGAGCUGGGUUCAGAACGUCGUGAGACAGUUCGGUCCCUAUCCGGCGCGGGCGUAGGAUAUUUGAGAGGAGCUGUCCUUAGUACGAGAGGACCGGGAUGGACAGACCGCUGGUGUACCUGUUGGCCUACCAAGGCCAUGGCAGGGUAGCCAAGUCUGGACGGGAUAAACGCUGAAGGCAUCUAAGCGUGAAGCCCCCCUCAAGAUGAGAUAUCCCAUCGCAAGAGUAAGACCCCUUGA